GUUUGUAAGUGUUUGUAUUGUUGUUAUUUAAACAACUACUGGGCACAUCAAUGGAAACGCUGUAUAGAUCACAAUUGUAUAUUAUAGAAUCCAUUGCCUUUUCUCACGAAUUCUUUAGAAGUACUUUGAAAAUUCCAGAGUGGAAAGAAAAGGGAAAUCCUGACAGAUUUGCUCGCAAGAUGAAAAUAGAAAGAAGCGGGUCACAAAUCGGGAUGAUGGACUUGCAGGCAAUGCGCCCUCCUGAAAGCCCAACAGGUGUACGCCUAG